AAAAGUUCCUGUGGGUAAAAUUUUCCAUUGAGUAAUGUAAAAAAAAAUCUGGCCUUAUAUCCCUACAUCCUGUUAUAUCUUUAUCCUGACAUUUCACUAUUUAAAUUGCCUUUGCAUUCAGAAAUAUUGAGCAAACAUUGCUGACACUGCAGAGUUUAUCUGUGUAUGGCAUUCAUUAUAGCAGCCCAAUUUGUUCCCUUGCUUCAAUAAUGAAGUUUGCUGUGGUCAGUGGAAUCAGACUGAUUGGUUUACUGGAGAGACAACUAUGUUUGGCAAGUUGUACAUGUAGCUGGACAAUGUUACUGAGAAAUUGGUCAGCACCAGAUAGGAAUGUACCAGUUUAAAUUACUAAGACACACAUAUGAUUUCUUAAGAAAAAAUUAAGAUUAUAGUGAAGGAUUUUGGAGAUGAUUUGUUCUCAGCCCAAAGAAGAAGAGAAGAAAAUAAGAAGGCAAAGGAAAAGGAGCAGGAGGGGGAAAAAAAACAGUAACAAAAUAACUAUGGAAUUUACCAUUGACUGCCUGAAUACAAAUUAUAUACUGAUAACAAUUAAAUCUGUAUUCAUCACUCUGCAAAACAUGCUCAGCUAUUCCGGUGUGCUGAAGCCCUAUCCCCAAGAUGACUAUAUUUGGAGACAGGAUUUUUGGAGGAAUAUUUCAUCUUUUGGUUUAGAAAUUCAAAGCAUUCAAGUUUAUUAAGACAAUUGUAUUUCUGUAAAAUAUCUAAUUUGGAUUCCUUGAUGGAGGACAAAAUUGCCACAUGUGACCAAUGUAUCAUGGACAGCUAAUACCCCAAUUAUCACUUGACUAGGAAGAAAGGACCAAAGAGAGACAAUGUUUUCUCUUAUACACAUUGUUUGCACAUUGCUCGUUAACACCUCCAGGACAGAGCAUCACCAUGAAAUUCUCUAUUGAGCAGUAAAGAGAGACAGAGAGAGAGAGAGAGAGAAGAAAAAAGAAACAACAGCCUGGAAGUAGCUUUUGUCUUUCAUCACUAUUCACUACUGAGAUGGUAACUAUAGUAAGUGGUAGGUGGUGGCACUAGAGCACUCUAAUUUGUGUAUGGGAUUUGGGACGGAGGAGGAGAAAAUAUUAUAUGAUAGGGAUAAAAUUGGCCCUAAAGUCUUUCUUCAUCCUGUAAUGCAUUGAAGAUAAUAGUACUGUCAUAACAAGUUGGUCUUAGAUGCUUUGAACAAAAUACAUAACAUGGAAGAAGUAAGUGAACUAGCACUACCUUUAGGGGAAAUUCUGCAAUUGCCUAAGUAUAAAACCAUUUCUAAACACUUCUCUGACAUUUCUUCUAGUACCAAGACUUUAGCUUAUAAAAAUAACUAAAAACGUUUGAAAUCACACAAUCAUGUAAUUGAUGGAAUUAAUUGUUGAUAAACAUGAAUUAUUUCUCAAAAUGAUGAAUCUGGUCAUUAACCAAUCUUGUAUGUUAUAUUCUGAAGUUCACUCUUCAGUUUUCUAUAUAUAGGAUAGUUGUGAAAAUUGAGUGGGAGCCUUGGCCACAGAAAUGCAAACUGUGAAUUGGGUCAAACACUUCAGUGAAUGUAACAAUAUAGACACAAUUAGUAACAAAAUUUAUUUGAAGUGAAUAUGGGGAAGCCUCUGAAAGAAAAAAAUGGUGAUAGUUUUUAAUAAAUUAGUCAAAUACUUUAAAAUAGGCAUAGUUGAAUUGAACAACAUGUUUUUUUUUGUUUUGUUUUGUUUUGAGUUUUAAUAGCUAUAAAAGGAGAGAGAGAUUGUCAUGCUGCCAUGAAAUGGAUAUAAACAAUUUUCAGCUGAGACUCUGACCAAAAAAAUUACUCAGGGAGUACAAUUAGAACAUUCACAACACAAAGGGAUCAUGAAUGCUUGAGGUGACGUAUCCCCUGCUACCCUCGG
rnacentral:lncRNA from 10 species